UNCCAUAAUAAGCCCUACUCACAGUUAGA
rnacentral:piRNA from 1 species